UUGUAAUGGAGUGCAGUCCAGCUUAUGCUACAACUGAAUUUAAAACAAAUACUACUGAUGAUGCAUCAGUGAAGGAUGGUCCAACAUAUGAUACAGUACAACAAAGUGAACAAACACAAUUGACUGUUGAGCCAGUGUAUGAUACAACUAAUGAUGAAUAUGAGACUUCUCUCCCCCCACCUUCUACUGAAUAUGAAAUACCAACUGUGACUGAUUUAUAACUUAAUCAACUCUUUGCUAAUGUACAAAUUAUCUUGACUAGGUCGGUGUACUAUUUUAGUUACAUUAUUUUCUCAAUAUGUGUGAAUGCCUGUAUU